UACGUAGGGGGCAAGCGUUGUCCGGAUUUAUUGGGCGUAAAGAGCGUGUAGGCGGCCAGGUAGGUCUGCUGUGAAAACUCGAGGCUUAACCUCGAGCUGUCGGCGGAAACCAUCUGGCUAGAGUCCGGAAGAGGAGAAUGGAAUUCCCGGUGUAGCGGUGAAAUGCGCAGAUAAUCGGGAAGAACACCCGUGGCGGAAGGCG
rnacentral:rRNA from 1 species